rnacentral:ncRNA from 1 species
UAACACAACUCUGGAGAGACCGGUUCGAUCCGGCGCCGAAGGGGCACGAAGCCGCGGUUUUCCGCGCUUCCAAACUCUCAGGCAAAAGGACAGAGGGGCGCCC